CCAAAGAGUUGAUCCAUACCAUAUGUCAUCAUGGAGGAGUAAUUGGAAACCAACAUAAACGGACUUGAUUAAUCCCACGUCCCAGGCUCUGGCUCAACGUCUUGGCCCUGCCCCUCACUGCUGCAUGGGGAAGGGGUCCCACUUCUUUCUGGAAUAAAGGGGCAAUACUCAUCUGGCCCUACAGAUGACCCUUAAAUGACUUCGACAGGGGCCCGGUUUGGAGAAGAUGAAGGUUUUUUUGUUGGGAGAAGAGACUGGAAGAUUGGAAGUGACUCUUCCGUCGUGGCAUUCAGUGA